AUAUAUACAAAAAGAAAUGAUGAUAGAUAUUUUGUUGGAAAGAUGAUAAAAAGAGAGAAGAAGAAAAAAGUCGUCAUCAUCAUCCUCUAAAGCUUUUUUCUCCAUGUCUCACUCUAUUUUUUCUAAGAAAGUUUUAUUUUGCUUUCAUUUUAGUUCUUUUCCUCCAUUUUUAACUUAUCCCAAGCUUUAAACUCAAAUUUCCACCAUAGAUUUUAGUAAUCAACGAUAGAAACUUCAUGACAUGAUUAGUUUUUGGUGGAACUAGCAAUAGUACAUCUUGAAAGUGAAGAAAAGUUAGGGAUUUGUGUAAGUAAGAGAAUGAGAAGAGGAGUGAACAUCCAAUUGGUGAUAGACGCAAAGAUAUAGCAAACGAGUGAAGGAAGAAA